rnacentral:rRNA from 1 species
AAUCUUGCGCAAUGGGCGAAAGCCUGACGCAGCAACGCCGCGUGAGUGAUGAAGGUCUUUGGAUCGUAAAGCUCUUUCGGCUGGGAAGAACCGCCCGGUGGCUAAUAUCCAUCGGGUCUGACGGUACCAGCAGAAGAAGCACCGGCUAACUCUGUGCCAGCAGCCGCGGUAAUACAGAGGGUGCAAGCGUUGUUCGGAAUCAUUGGGCGUAAAGAGAGUGUAGGCGGGAUCGCAAGUCGGAUGUGAAAGCCCUCGGCUCAACCGGGGAAGUGCAUUCGAAACUGCGGUUCUUGAGUGUCGGAGAGGGUGGCGGAAUUCCCGGUGUAGAGGUGAAAUUCGUAGAUAUCGGGAGGAACACCAGUGGCGAAGGCGGCCACCUGGACGAACACUGACGCUGAGACUCGAAAGCGUGGGGAGCAAACAG